rnacentral:misc_RNA from 1 species
AAGUCGUAACAAGGUUUCCGUAGGUAGGUUUGCCUGCGGGGCCCGCGCCGCGACAGAAAACAACGGUGCCCAGUCGUCCCCGGACGGCGACGCCCUCAAUCUGUGCUGGGACUACCAGCUGCCUCCCCGGGCUCACAGAUCAGAUGAUGGCGGCCACGCCUGUGGUUGAGAUAUGACCGGCCUCCCCCCUUCCGGGGACGAGACCUGUGGAACCUGCGGAAGGAUCAUUACUGAGACAAAGAUCAUCAGGGGGAUGGUGUUGGAUGAUGCCUACCCCCUGAUGCGGGUGCCGGGGCUGCCCCGGCGUAAGACCCACGGCUCCCGCCAUCUUCACCCGUGACCGUCCAAUCUUGUCAUUGCUUUGGCGGGGUAACCCGCCAAAAGACCCCCACAAAUCGUUUGUUCAGUGUCGUCUGAGUCAUAUUGAAUACAAUAAAACUUUCAACAACGGAUCUCUUGGUUCUG